UACGGAGGAUGCAAGCGUUAUCCGGAUUUAUUGGGUUUAAAGGGUGCGUAGGCGGGACAGUAAGUCAGUGGUGAAAGGCUGCGGCUUAACCGUAGAAUUGCCAUUGAUACUGCUAUUCUUGAAUGUAGUUGAGGUAGGCGGAAUGUGUAAUGUAGCGGUGAAAUGCUUAGAUAUUACACAGAACACCGAUUGCGUAGGCAGCUUACUAAGCUAUUAUUGACGCUGAGGCACGAAAGCGUGGGGAUCGAACAGG
rnacentral:rRNA from 1 species